UACGUAGGGGGCAAGCGUUGUUCGGAAUUACUGGGCGUAAAGGGCUCGUAGGCGGCCAACUAAGUCGGACGUGAAAUCCCUCGGCUUAACCGGGGAACUGCGUCCGAUACUGGAUGGCUUGAGUUCGGGAGAGGGAUGCGGAAUUCCAGGUGUAGCGGUGAAAUGCGUAGAUAUCUGGAGGAACACCGGUGGCGAAGGCGGCAUCCUGGACCGACACUGACGCUGAGGAGCGAAAGCCAGGGGAGCAAACGGG
rnacentral:rRNA from 1 species